rnacentral:rRNA from 1 species
AUUGAACGCUGGCGGCAGGCUUAACACAUGCAAGUCGAGCGAGCGGCGGACGGGUGAGUAAUGUCUGGGAAACUGCCUGAUGGAGGGGGAUAACUACUGGAAACGGUAGCUAAUACCGCAUACUAUCAGAUGUGCCCAGAUGGGAUUAGCUAGUAGGUGGGGUUAUGGCUCACCUGGGCGACGAUACCUAGCUGGUCUGAGAGGAUGACCAGCCACACUGGUACUGGUAUACGGGCCAGACUCCUACGGGAGGCAGCAGUGGUGACUAUUGCACAAUGGGCGCAAGCCUGAUGCAGCCAUGCCGUGUGUGUGAAGAAGGCCUUCGGGUUGUAAAGCACUUUCAGCGAGGAGGCAAUACUCGCAGAAGAAGCACCGACUGAAUCCGUGCCAGGAGCCGCUGUAAUUC